AGGAGCCUGUCCUAUAAUCGAUAACCCCCGCUUAANCUCACCAUUUUUUGCUAAUCASCCUGUAUACCUCCGUCGUCAGCUUACCACGUGAGCGUUAGUGAGCCUAAUGUUUUUCCAACCAUACGUCAGGUCAAGGUGCAACAUAUAAAAUGGAAAGAGAUGGGCUACACUUUCUAUAAUAGAAUAAACGAAAGACUUNAUGAAACCUAGUCAGAAGGUGGAUUUAGAAGUAAAGUGAAACUAGAGUGUUCACUUAAAUACGGCACUGGGGUGUGUACACACCCCANUAGGAUACCUGAUCCA
rnacentral:rRNA from 1 species